UCGAGGACGGUAAUGGGGAACAAUAUCCCAGACGUUUAUCUCAAUACAACAUAUGGCACGAGCCUUAGUUCUGGGCUGUGGUGGUCCGUGGUCUCCUUGCUACACGCUGUCACGCAAGAGGGGAAUGGUGGGGAGUGCGCCCUGGCGAUUACCUUCGACUCAACUUUUCUUCCUGCUGUUGAUAUCUUCUUAACCACACCAAUGAAGAAAGUUGGAAGUGGUACUUCUUCAUAUCCUGUAAUACUAAUGAGGCUUACGACUUCACUUGAAGCUCAACACAACAAUAGUUAUGAUAAAGAGUUGCACGCCCUACUGCUGCAGCACUACGGACUGCUUGGACACGACAUGUGUACACAUUACCUCUUCCUCGUCCAACGUCCUGCCCCUCUCUUAAGGCUCCUGAAGGCCUUAUAUAAGGAAUCACUCAAUCUCCGUGGCAGGUUCAUCUUAGUCACUCACUCUGAGAAACAUGAAAUUCUUCAGUUCA